GCCAAACAGCUAGCUCAAUUACCCAAUAACUAAACAAUAUAAAUAAAACAAAAUAAGCCUAACACCAAAAAUUAAAUCAUUCUUUUACCUUAGUAUGGGCGACAGAAAAGGUUACACCUGGAGCAAUAGAAAAAGUACCGCAAGGGAAAGCUGAAAGAGAAAUGAAAUAACUUAUAUAAGCACCAAAAAGCAAAGAUUAAAUCUUGUACCUUUCGCAUCAUGAUUUAGCCAGUAUAUCCAAGCAAAGAGACCUUUAGUUUGAAACCCCGAAACCAAGUGAGCUACCCCGAGACAGCCUAUUAAGGGCCAACCCGUCUCUGUGGCAAAAGAGUGGGAAGAGCUCCGGGUAGAGGUGACAGACCUACCGAACUUGGUGAUAGCUGGUUGCCUAAGAAGUGAAUAGAAGUUCAGCCUCGUACUCCCUGAAUCAAAAGAUAUAAAAAGAUAUUAGAGGGAAAUAUAUGAGAGUUAGUUAAAGGGGGUACAGCCCCUUUAACAAAGGACACAACCUUUCCAGGAGGAUAAAGAUCAUAAUACAUAAGACAUCCUGUUCUAGUGGGCCUAAAGGCAGCCAUCUAAACAGAAAGCGUUAAAGCUCAGACAGAAAUAAGUUUAUUAUUCCGACAAGAAAUCUUACUCCCCUAAAUAUUAUUAGGCCAGCCCAUGCCCACAUGGGAGAGACUAUGCUAAAAUGAGUAACAAGAAGGCCAGCCCUUCUCCAAGCACAAGUGUAAGCCAAACCGGACCGACCAUUGGCAAUUAACGAACUCAACCCGAGAGAGUAAUGUGUAUUACAACGAAACCAGGAAGAACCCACAAUUAACCCAUCGUUACCCCCACACUGGCGUGCUAUUAAAGGAAAGACUAAAAGAAGGGAAAGGAACUCGGCAAACAUAAGCCUCGCCUGUUUACCAAAAACAUCGCCUCCUGCAACACAACCAAGUAUAGGAGGUCCAGCCUGCCCAGUGACUACAAGUUCAACGGCCGCGGUAUUUUGACCGUGCAAAGGUAGCGCAAUCACUUGUCUCUUAAAUGGAGACCUGUAUGAAUGGCUAAACGAGGGCUUAACUGUCUCCCCCCUCCAGUCAGUGAAAUUGAUCUACCCGUGCAGAAGCGGG
rnacentral:rRNA from 1 species